AUGGACUCAGCCCCCAGAUAUCUAUCCAACUUUUUUUAUAUUUCUUACCAGAGCCAGAGACUCUAAUAUUCACAGUUUUUUAAAUAUGAGUCUAUCUGGAAAGAACAGAUGUGUAUAUACUGUAUACCAGCGCUGUUGAGUAGAACACCACAGAAACUCCAAGCCAUACCAACCAUAACCACUUUAAAAAGAAUGUAACAAGCUGACGACUGUGUGAACAGUAGAACUUGAUUUUAUCCAGCUCUGUAAUGUAUCUGUAAUGUGUCUCUGUAAUGUAUCUCUGUAAUGUAUCUCUGUAAUGUGUCUGUGUCUCUGGAAUGUGUCUGUAUCUCUGUAAUGUGUCUCUGUAAUAUGUCUGUAUCUCUGUAAUGUGUCUCUGUAAUGUGUCUCUGUAAUGUGUCUGUAUCUCUGUAAUGUGUCUGUGUCUCUGUAAUGUGUCUGUCUCUGUAAUGUCUCUGUCUCUGUAAUGUGUCUCUGUAAUGUGUCUGUAAUGUGUCUGUGUCUCUGUAAUGUGUCUGUAUCUCUGUAAUGUGUCUCUGUAAUGUGUCUGUAUCUCUGUAAUGUGUCUGUGUCUCUGUAAUGUGUCUGUAUCUCUGUAAUGUGUCUGUAUCUCUGUAAUGUGUCUCUGUAAUGUGUCUGUAUCUCUGUAAUGUGUCUCUGUAAUGUGUCUGUAUCUCUGUAAUGUGUCUCUGUAAUGUGUCUGUGUCUCUGUAAUGUGUCUGUGUCUCUGUAAUGUGUCUGUAUCUCUGUAAUGUAUCUCUGUAAUGUGUCUGUAUCUCUUGUCUGUAUCUCUGUAAUGUGUCUGUAUCUCUGUAAUGUGUCUGUAUCUCUGUAAUGUGUCUGUGUCUGUAAUGUGUCUGUAUCUCUGUAAUGUGUCUGUAAUGUGUCUGUAUCUCUGUAAUGUGUCUGUAAUGUCUCUGUAUCUCUGUAAUGUGUCUGUAUCUCUGUAAUGUGUCUGUAUCUCUGUAAUGUGUCUCUGUAAUGUCUCUGUAUCUAUAUAAUGUGUCUGUAUCUCUGUAAUGUGUCUGUAUCUCUGUAAUGUCUCUGUAAUGUGUCUGUAUCUCUGUAAUGUGUCUGUCUCUGUAAUGUGUCUGUAAUGUGUCUGUAUCUAUAUAAUGUCUCUGUAAUGUGUCUGUAAUGUGUCUGUAUCUAUAUAAUGUGUCUGUAUCUCUGUAAUGUGUCUGUAUCUCUGUAAUGUGUCUGUAAUGUGUCUGUAUC
rnacentral:lncRNA from 1 species